GACGAACGCUGGCUGCGUGCUUAACACAUGCAAGUCGAACGGAAAGGCCCUGCUUUUGUGGGGUGCUCGAGUGGCGAACGGGUGAGUAACACGUGAGUAACCUGCCCUUGACUUUGGGAUAACUUCAGGAAACUGGGGCUAAUACCGGAUAGGAGCUCCUGCUGCAUGGUGGGGGUUGGAAAGUUUCGGCGGCUGGGGAUGGACUCGCGGCUUAUCAGCUUGUUGGUGGGGUAGUGGCUUACCAAAGCUUUGACGGGUAGCCGGCCUGAGAGGGUGACCGGCCACAUUGGGACUGAGAUACGGCCCAGACUCCUACGGGAGGCAGCAGUGGGGAAUAUUGCACAAUGGGCGGAAGCCUGAUGCAGCAACGCCGCGUGCGGGAUGACAGCCUUCGGGUUGUAAACCGCUUUCGCCUGUGACGAAGCGUGAGUGACGGUAAUGGGUAAAGAAGCACCGGCUAACUACGUGCCAGCAGCCGCGGUGAUACGUAGGGUGCGAGCGUUGUCCGGAUUUAUUGGGCGUAAAGGGCUCGUAGGUGGUUGAUCGCGUCGGAAGUGUAAUCUUGGGGCUUAACCCUGAGCGUGCUUUCGAUACGGGUUGACUUGAGGAAGGUAGGGGAGAAUGGAAUUCCUGGUGGAGCGGUGGAAUGCGCAGAUAUCAGGAGGAACACCAGUGGCGAAGGCGGUUCUCUGGGCCUUUCCUGACGCUGAGGAGCGAAAGCGUGGGGAGCGAACAGGCUUAGAUACCCUGGUAGUCCACGCUGUAAACGGUGGGUACUAGGUGUGGGGUCCAUUCCACGGGUUCCGUGCCGUAGCUAACGCUUUAAGUACCCCGCCUGGGGAGUACGGCCGCAAGGCUAAAACUCAAAGGAAUUGACGGGGCCCCGCACAAGCGGCGGAGCAUGCGGAUUAAUUCGAUGCAACGCGUAGAACCUUACCUGGGUUUGACAUGGAUCGGGAGUGCUCAGAGAUGGGUGUGCCUCUUUUGGGGUCGGUUCACAGGUGGUGCAUGGCUGUCGUCAGCUCGUGUCGUGAGAUGUUGGGUUAAGUCCCGCAACGAGCGCAACCCUUGUUCACUGUUGCCAGCACGUUAUGGUGGGGACUCAGUGGAGACCGCCGGGGUCAACUCGGAGGAAGGUGGGGAUGACGUCAAGUCAUCAUGCCCCUUAUGUCCAGGGCUUCACGCAUGCUACAAUGGCUGGUACAGAGAGUGGCGAGCCUGUGAGGGUGAGCGAAUCUCGGAAAGCCGGUCUCAGUUCGGAUUGGGGUCUGCAACUCGACCUCAUGAAGUCGGAGUUGCUAGUAAUCGCAGAUCAGCAACGCUGCGGUGAAUACGUUCCCGGG
rnacentral:rRNA from 1 species